AUGCUGUCAAAAGCCUAAAACUCAUGGUUGAAGUGCAAAUGUGUCCUUGCGCAUGAACCAUAGGAUCUUUUCUGAAUCUCACAAUUUUGGUGGCUUACCCUGCAACAGCAUGUUUGUUGUUAUGGCUGUUUUACUUCUGUUUAGAAGGCAACCCAGCUAAGAGAUAGAGUUUCAGUGACAUGAAGACUGUGAAGUGAACCACCUAUCACCAUGCUACUGCAAUACUUCAUGACACUAACUUGAGCAUCAGGAAAUUUAUCUCAACAUGUGGAGUAAUGCUGUUGGUUGCUGUGAAUUCCAUUUUUACGGUUUUUUCUUCAUGAAAAUUGCUGUGUGCUUCAAUGAGAGCACGCAGUUUCUUUAUGGAAUCGUGUGGUCCUGGCACGGAGAUUCUGUGCCAAUGCUGACCUUUGUCCAUGACGGAAGAGAGACUUCCAUCAACGUUCUUCUCCAUCCUUAUCUUCGCGACGCACGCUCAUCUAGCUUCACUGCUUCUAAACACAAUUUGUUUUACUUCACUGGCGACUUGGCGAGUUUCUGGACCUCUUCAGUGAUCGUUUCCGUCCGCUGUUACACACCUGCAGUCACUCACCACGGGAUUAUGCCCAGGUCAUGCAGAGGAAACGUCGAGAAGAUGGAUACCAAAACGUCGCCGGUA